GUGAAAAUUCAUGUGGGAAUUUUGAAGCUUCCUUAUGUGUUUUGUGUGUUGGUGAGAAUUUAGGUGUAACUUGUGGGAUACAAAAGGAAGAAGUUUGUUGGGGAGCUGUAAAGUAUGUAUAGGCCUGGGGCUGCAACCCCAAAUCGUGGUGGACUGCCUAUGGAUAGUGGAGAUUCUGUGGUGACAUUGGAUCAAGUUCCCCGUUGGAGUGAUGGGGAGUAUAGAUAUGCAUAUGAGAAUGAAGAUGGGCCUUUUCCAAAUUCUUAUUUUGCUGACCCUUUGACAUCUGCAUCUGAGGCUGGGAGUAGUGGAAAUGGAAUGGUUUCUAGGUUUCCUGUCGAUCAUGAAAUUAACUCAAAGAUAUAUUUGUGGAGAGGGAAUCCUUGGAAUCUUGAGGUGGAUGCAGUUGUAAACUCGACUAACGAGGUAAACUUUGAUUACUUGCCCAGGUACUUUUUCUGUGGCACGAUGAAUGAUUCCUAUCAUUGUGUUAUGAUAAAAGAUUUUUGGUGCAUAUUGCUUUGUAUGAUCUAUCAAUUAAAGGAUGGAAAAAACACUGUUCAUUCUCAUCAUAUAGGGACCAGGAAAUUAUCAAUCCAAUUUUUAGGUUUGAGUCCUGGCUUUUUUUUGUACCUAAAGCAUAUUGUGAAUGUCUCCUUCAUUUUCCAGCUUUAUUAAUCCUUUAUCUGAUCGAAAAUGUUGCACUCGCUUGUUUCUGUUUUUGUUGCUGAAGUUUGAAUUGGGUUUUGGAAAUUUAAUUUUCUCACAUAAAUAAAUUUUGGAAAUUUGUUGUCUCUUACUAUUAGCUUGUGUAUAAAUUUUGCUGGUUUCUUUUUACUAGAUGUUGCAAGAAUGGAUAUUCUUCUGGGUACUAUUGCCAUGGCUUUUGCAUUGUUGUUGGAGUUUCUGUUAACGAGAUCUUUGACCCCACACAUGCUGUUGAAUUCAUACCUGCCAAAACUCAUAACACGUAUAUUAAUUUACAAAGUAAUGAUUCAAGAUACAUCUUGGACUCAUGUAUCCAUCAUUCAAGUAAAACCUUGGGCAAUGUGAUUUUGUUUCCUCUGGAAUGGAUACCCAAGGCUAUUCUGCUGCUGUAACCUGGGGAGUGCGAAUCCAUUAUUGCUCUUGUCAUGUUAUAUUGCAUCAAAGAAGAUGUGAAAAUUAUUCAUUGCAACAUUUGAGAGUAACUACUUAAGCACAUUACUAUGGUUAUGUUGCAUCUGACAUCAUGUGCUCAUAUGUGGUUGGCAGAACUUGGAUGAAGCACAUAGCAGCCCAGGGUUGCAUGCUGCAGCUGGACCUGGUCUUGCAGAAGAAUGUGCAACUUUGGUGAGUUUUACUUGUAUACAUGUCUCUGUGUGCAUUAAUUUUUUGUGCUGCAUAAGCAUGUUAUUGGUUCUUUUUGAUGGUCUAUUAUGCAGAUCUUUUAGUACAAAUUUUUUUCAUUUUUUGUAAAUAAAUUUAUCUGCCUCAUUCUAGGGUGGCUGUCGAACAGGAAUGGCAAAAGUUACCAAUGCAUACGAUCUUCCUGCAAGGUGGGGUUAUCAGUUGUUUCACUAGAACAAAUCAAUGUACUUCUGUAUAGCUGCAAAGAGGAAAGCCUUGUGCCACUAAUGCUUCAGUCGCUAAUUGUUUUUAUUGUGACACUUCACAGGAGGAUUAUACAUACUGUUGGUCCCAAGUAUGCAGUAAAGUAUCACACUGCUGCAGAGAAUGCGCUGAGUCACUGCUACAGGUCUUGUCUUGAACUUCUCAUUGAAAAUGGACUGCAAAGGUUGGUAGCAUAGUUAUUUUCACUUUCUUUUCUAGCUUAUCUAUUGGGUGUUAUUCAUUUAUGUGGAACUUAUCUAUCUGCAUUAAAAUGUGAGUGCAGUAUUGCUGUGGGCUGUAUAUAUACAGAAGCCAAAAAUUAUCCACGAGAACCAGCUGCACAUGUUGCAAUAAGUAAGAUACUUUUUACACCAUUCAGAUUUCAUUAUUCAGGCAUUUUAAUACCUUAAGUGCAGAGAUUUUCUUGGAGUGGCAUUUGAAUCACAUGCGUGGAAUACCCCAUGUUUUAAGAGUUCUAUCCUCAUUCCUCAGCAGCUGGAAAACAAAUGAAAUUAAUAAAUUUGUUUACGGAUCGUAUUACUGAAUUUGCUUGACGUCAGGGUGAUUGGGAUGAACUUAUUACUGUUCCUUCAAUUUUUUGUUUGCUUUUUUCAUUAGGAACUGUGAGACGGUUUCUUGAGAAGCAGAAAGAUAAAAUCAACGCCGUUGUAUUCUGUACAGCUACAUCAACUGAUACUGAGAUAUAUAAAAGGUAUUCUUAGAGACCUGUCUUUAGAUAGUGUUGUUACUAACUUUGUUGACAUUGUGUAAUGCAGUGUACUGGCAAUGCUUGCUGUGGUCAAUUGGCAUGUCCUAUUCAUGUUCCGAAUAUUGGGAAUUUUAAACCCUUCUACCAUUUGCACGCAGAUUGCUUCCACUUUAUUUUCCACGUGACAAACAGGAAGAGGAGAUAGCUAUUUCAAAACUACCUGCAGAUGUUGGCGAUGAAAAUGGUGAGACAGUUAUAGAUGAGCGAAAAAUCAGAAUAAAGUCUCUGCCCAAUGUGAAGAAGAGUAUUCCAAAACCUCCACAACCUUCCAAUGAUCUCCCUGUCAGUGAUCUUGGGUUGACAAGGAGGUUGGCUUACUAUGUCAUUCUUCUUCUUCUCCUUGCUCUUCUUUUUCUUUACUUUUUCCCCCCAUGUCAGUCUCUAAGCUAAGAUGAGCUCAAUGAACAUCUUGUGCUGGCAGGAUAAUACUGUAUUUGCAUUUUGAAUUUUCUCACUCCUGGUACCUUGGUGUGGAUGCUGCAUUUAUCUGUCUUAUCUAAUACUCCUUUUUGCUGUUCCUUCAAUAGGAGUUCUUCAUAUUUGGAUUCAUACUUGGAUCCUGCCUUUAUGUCGUUGAUAAAGGACCCAGACCAGCGACGUAAAGAACAGUGGGAAAAAACUGCUCAAGCUCAGAGUGGUUGGAACUGUUGUAAAAUGCUUGGAUAUGGUGACCUCGGGGGACCUCCUUUAUCUGCUGCAGAAGAAUAUUCUCUCCAUUCCCGAUACCUUGCAAAAGCAAAUUCUCUCAAUCUUUCUGAAAUUG
rnacentral:lncRNA from 1 species